UGAGGAAUAUUGGUCAAUGGACGGAAGUCUGAACCAGCCAAGUAGCGUGCAGGAUGACGGCCCUAUGGGUUGUAAACUGCUUUUAUACGGGGAUAAAGUGAGCCACGCGUGGCUUAUUGCAGGUACCGUAUGAAUAAGGACCGGCUAAUUCCGUGCCAGCAGCCGCGGUAAUACGGAAGGUCCGGGCGUUAUCCGGAUUUAUUGGGUUUAAAGGGUGCGUAGGUUGCCGAUUAAGUCAGCGGUGAAAGUCAGUGGCUCAACCAUUGAAUUGCCGUUGAAACUGGUUGGCUUGAGUACGUACGGGGCAGGCGGAAUGCGUGGUGUAGCGGUGAAAUGCAUAGAUAUCACGCAGAACCCCGAUCGCGAAGGCAGCCUGCCAGGCCGUGACUGACACUGAUGCACGAAAGCGUGGGUAUCGAACAGGAUUAGAUACCCUGGUAGU
rnacentral:rRNA from 1 species